rnacentral:sRNA from 1 species
AUAUUUGGGUUCUUGGUCUGGACCAUGGUAGCCGCCACCCACAUAGUAUACCCCUUGCUGCAAGGAUGGGUGAUGUAUGUCUCGCUCACCUCAUUUCUCAUCUCCUUGAUGUUCCUGUUGUCUUACUUGUUUGGAUUUUACAAAAGAUUUGAAUCCUGGAGAGUUCUGGACAGCCUGUACCACGGGACCACUGGCAUCCUGUACAUGAGCGCUGCCGUCCUACAAGUACAUGCCACGAUUGUUUCUGAGAAACUGCUGGACCCAAGAAUUUACUACAUUAAUUCGGCAGCCUCGUUCUUCGCCUUCAUCGCCACUCUGCUCUACAUUCUCCAUGCCUUCAGCAUCUAUUACCACUGAUGCACAGGCGCCAGGCCAAGGGGGAAAUGCUCUUUGAAACCUCCAAUUAUUGGUCCCCAAAAGCAGCUUCCAACGUUUGCCAUCUGGAUGACAAACGGAAGAUCCACUAAAACGUCCACGGGAUUAACAGAACGUCCUUGCAGACCGAGCGAUGACACCACACUUUGUUUGGACA